UGAUCCAUAGCGGUAGAUUUCAUUUCUGCAUUUACUACUAUCUUUGCUCCCUUCUGUAGACUUAGUGGGUGGACCGAUGUUGUUGAGGGCGGCACCCACUGAGGACUACCUGUUUUUACAGUAGUUCUCACGCCCUGUUAUUACAGUAGUUCUCACGCCAGUGCGAGUAGCUCUGUAUUUUCGGUAUUGAACUAUGUAUAUGGAACUCCGUUUGUUUAGCUUCUGUUUACUCUAGCAGCUCUAUACUACUGUUUGUAGUAUUGUAUGGUUUACAGGUACUGCUAUCGCUUCGUAUACAGGGGAAAUUCCUUUGUAUACGGCGGAUUUGUCGGCGUGCCCGGGGACGUGUAAUCCGGAGCGUGACAGAUUAAAUUAGUAUCAGAGCUUAGCACUAGGUCGUUGGGACCUAGAAAAUCUAAGUUUGGCAAACCUUAGGAAGGUAAGAUGCGAGAGGCGUAAUUUAUUGCGAAAGUCAAUGAUUAAUUGUUCUAACUCCUUUCAGAGUGGGGUGAGUGAUUGAAGGAGUUCCUGUUUUGCCCUGAGCAAUUAUGUUGGCUGCAGACAACAUAAUUUUGGAGGAAAACAGGGACCGCCUUCCAGACUUUCGUUGAUUGGGUCGAGAGUGUUUAUGUUUCAUCUGACCCCGAUCUGUUCUUUUCAGCUAUGUAUCGUCGCCGAGGUCGACCGUCGUUACGGGAGCGUGCCCAGUUGUCGCAGGAUCGUGCGGGACCUUCCGAGAUGCUCGAGCAUGCGGAGCCGAGUACCCAGCGGGAGCAGAGUGUUCGACCAGAGACGAGUACAUCUCCGGACUUGAGUGCACAGUUAGCCGCCCUGACAGAGGUGACGAGGCGGCAGGAGGAGUUGUUAGAAAGGAUGGGCGAGAGGCUAGCUUCACUCUAGAGUUCAGCACCGAGGGCACCAGAGUCGUCUGUUCCACCUCCUAUUACUCCAGUGACAGCACCAGUUGCAGCAGUACCUCCGCCAGCAGCCGUUCUAGUAGCGCCAGUUGCGCCUGCUGGGGGGCCAGUACAGUUGACAGAGGCAGAGCAGGAGCGGUGGACGGAGAGGUUGGCUCGUUUUCGCCGUUUGAUCCACCGAUUUUCGAUGGCAGUUGCACUGAGGCCUGGGUUGUUGAGGGAUGGGUCAGUGCGAUGGAGAAGUUAUUUGAGGAUCUGUUCAUUCCUGAGGGGGAGCAGGUGUCUUUGGGAGUCCAUUGCUUGGCAGGUGAUGCCCACGCUUGGUGGAGGAGAGUGAGGAGAGAGCAGGGACUAGUAGUGUUGCAGCUGAGAUGGGAUGAGUUCUGUGGAAUGCUGUUUGGGAUAUUCUUUCCCAACAGUGUGAAACAGAAGCUCGAGGAGGAUUUGAAGAGGAUCCAGCAGGGGGAUCGUCCAGUGCAGGAGUACAUUCGGGAGUUUACUCGACUCCUGAAUGUGUGCCAUUUGUGGCCAGGGACGAGGCACACAGGGUUUAUCUGUUUGAGCAGGGGCUGAGACCCGACAUCUUCAGGUUGGCGCGGACGCAGAGGUCGAGGACUCUGGAUGCGUCCAUAGAGCAGGCCUUAUAGGUGGAGAGAGGUGAGGUGUCGCUACAGGAGAGGACUCAGGCCGUGGGGCAGAGUCAGGAUAGGAAGCGCCCCUUUUCAGAUGAUGCUGGACAGUCGAGCAGCAGGCGUCCGCCGAGGCCUCCACGAUCACGCUCUCAGGGUCGUGGGUUUUCGGGGCGUCAUCGUUCCAGGGGAUCCCGUCCGCAGGGGCAGACUCAGAGGACACCGCAGUGUGUGAUCUGCGGGGGACUACACUGGCCCUGGUAGUGAGAGCAGAGAGAAGGCCGUUGCUAUUCUUGCGGUCAGCCCGGGCAUAUGAGGUCAGUUUGCCCCCGUGCAGCAUCACCAGCGUAAUCCACUGCAUCAGCGCAGCCGGCAUCUCAGCCGUCCUUUGGAGCAGCACCGGGUUUCCGCCAGGAAGAUAGAUCGUCUAUACCGCGUUAGGGGGAGCGACGACAGCAAGCUCCGAGUGGCAGGGUUUAUGCAGCUCAGGUAGUGGAUUCUUCAGCAGCCGACCGUGUGGUGGCAGGUAUCAUUUUGAUUUUAGGCAUUCGUACUCACACUCUUUUUGAUACCGGUGCCACGCAUUCUUUUGUUAGUCGAGCAUUUGCAUUGUUGCAUGGUCUAGAGUUAGGAGUAUUGUCACAGGCACGAAAGGUGCAGAUCCCGGACCAUGUUUUACAGGUUGCAAAGUGUUGUUGGUCGUGUCCGGUGCAGUUAGACUCGUGGAUCAUGCCCGCAGACCUGUUGGUGUUAUGGCAGCUGCAGGACUUCGACGUCAUGCUCGGUAUGGAUUGGCUGGCGCGGUACUAUGCUACUAUCGAUUUCCUCCGGAGUUGACGAUGAUGCCGCCGGAGAGGGAGAUAAAGUUUGUGAUUGAUGUGGUUCCUGGAACUGCACCAAUCUCAAAGGCACCUUAGAGGAUGGCACCGGCGGAGCUGAGAGAGCUAAAGGCGCAGCUUCAGGAUUUGAUGGAUAAGGGGUUUGUGAGACCCAGUGUGUCGCCUUGGGGAGCGCCGGUGUUGUUUGUAAAGAAGAAGGAUGGUUCGCUCAGAUUGUGUGUGGAUUACCGGGAGCUAAAUAAGGUGACCAUCAAGAAUAAGUAUCCUUUGCCGUGCAUUGAUGAUCUGUUUAAUCAGCUGCAAGGAUCUUAUGUCUUCUCGAAGAUUGACUUCCAGUCAGGUUACCACCAGUUAAGGGUGAGGGCCGAGGAUGUUUCCAAGACGGCUUUUCGGACUCGGUACGGGCAUUAUGAGUUUACGGUGAUGCCAUUUGGAUUGACGAAUGCCCCUGCCACAUUCAUGGAUUUGAUGAACAGAGUGUUCAAGCUGUUCUUGGACAGGUUUGUGGUAGUCUUCAUUGAUGAUAUCUGAUAUACUCCCGGAGUGAUGCCGAGCAUGAGGAGCACUUGAGGACUGUGCUAUAGCUUCUGAGAGAGAAUAAGUUGUAUGCCAAGUUAAAGAAGUGCGAGUUCUGGUUACGGGAGGUUGCUUUCUUGGGCCACGUGAUAUCAGCAGAGGGAGUAGCAGUUGACCCGAAGAAGAUUGAUGCUAUUCGGGAUUGGCCCAGACCGACGACGGUUACAGAGGUAAGGAGUUUCCUUGGGCUUGCUGGUUAUUACCGUCGGUUUGUGGAAGGCUUUGCGAAGCUUUCCACACCCCUCACUCGUUUAACGCAAAAUGAGAUUAGAUUCAUCUGGAGUGAGGAUUGCCAGAGGAGCUUUGAUGAGUUGAGACAGAGGUUGACGUCAGCUCUUAUCCUUACCCUUCCUAUGAUGGGGGAAGGAUUUGUGAUCUACAGUGAUGCAUCGCACAGUGGACUGGGUUGUGUGCUGAUGCAGCAUGGUAGGGUAAUUGCUUAUACUUCACGGCAGUUAAAGAAUUAUGAGAAGAAUUACCCUACACAUGACUUGGAGCUUGCCGCGGUAGUCUUUGCUUUAAAGUUGUGGCGGCAUUACUUGUACGGUGAGCACUGCGAGGUUUUUACUGAUCAUAAAAGUCUCAAGUAUCUGUUCACCCAAAAGGAGUUGAAUCUGAGGCAACGCCGGUGGUUGGAGUUGCUGAAGGACUAUGAUAUUAGUAUUCAGUAUCAUCCCGGCAAGGCAAAUGUAGUGGCAGAUGCGUUGAGCAGGAAGGUAGUGUAGAGCUGGAGCAUGUUGAUCACUCGGCAGAGACCGUUACUCGAGGAGCUGCGGCGGCUGAGGCUCGAGGUAGUGUCCCCAGAAUUUACUCCGAGACUGAUGUCUAUGAUCUUGCAGCCCACUCUGUUGUAUAGGAUUCGAGAGAAACAGAGUGGAGACCCGCACUUGUCGAGGAUUCGAGAGCAGCUUGAGAGGGGACAGGCCGAGGGCUUUGUUGUGGAUAGUUCGGGAGUACUGCGGUACAGGGACCGACUGUGUGUACCUAUGGAUUAGGAGAUCCGAGAGGACAUUUUGAGAGAGGCUCACUGUUCACCUUAUACGGUUCACCCCGGUGGAACCAAGAUGUAUAAGGAUUUAAAGGCUCAGUUUUGGUGGAAUGGAAUGAAGAGGGACAUUGGUAGAUUUGUGGCUCAGUGUCUGACUUGUCAAUAGGUAAAGGCCGAGCAUCAGGUACCUGCUGGCAAGCUUCAGAGUCUGGCAGUACCCGAGUGGAAAUGGGAGCAGAUUACGAUGGACUUUGUCGUCGGAUUGCCGAGAGCACAGGGUGGUUUUGAUGUGAUUUGGGUGAUAGUGGACAGACUGACCAAGUCUGCUCACUUCUUACCAGUGCAGACCACUUGGUCCAGAGAGAGACUCGCUCAGUUGUACUUGGAUGAGAUAGUGAGGUUGCAUGGCGUGCCCACUUUGAUAGUAUCCGACCGAAACCCGAGAUUCGUCUCGCACUUUUGGAGGUGUCUUCAGACGGCCUUGGGCACUCUGUUGCAGUUCAGCACAGCGCUUCACCCACAGACAGAUGGUCAGUCAGAGCGGACCAUUCAGACUCUAGAGGACAUGCUGAGGGCCUGUGUCCUAGACUUUGGAAGAGGGUGGUAUCGGCAUUUGAGACUGGUUGAGUUUGCGUACAACAACAGCUAUCAAGCGAGCAUCCAGAUGGCUCCGUUUAAGGUGUUGUAUGAAAGCAGAUGUCAAUCCCCUUUGUUUUGGAGUGAUGUGGGUGAGAGGAGGACGCUUGGGCCUGAGAUUCUGAUUGACGCUGAGGAAAAGGUAAAGAAGGCGCGACGGCACAUGUUAGCAGCCCAGAGUCGACAGAGGAGCUAUGCUGAUACUCGGAGACGAGACUUGGAGUUCCAGGUGGGAGAUUGUUUUUCUUAAAGUCUCGCCGUCCAGAGGGAUUCGCCGAUUUGGAGUACGUGAAAAGCUCAGUCCACGUUUUGUAGGCCCUUUCGAAGUAUUGGAGCAAGUCGGGCCAGUGGCUUACAGGAUUGCUCUACUACCAAGACUAGCCGGCAUUCACGAUGUCUUCCACGUCUCGGCUUUGAGGAAAUAUGUGUUCGACCCCUCCCACGUGAUUGACUUCACUCCGCUUGAGAUUGGCAUGGACCUGAGUUACGAGGAACGACCGGUGUGGAUUCUGGCUCGUGAGUCGAGGAAAUUGCGCAACCGGGUCAUACCCUUUGUAAAGGUGCAAUGGAAUAAUCACGAGGAGCGGGAGGCGACUUGGGAGCCGGAGACGGAGAUGAAGGAGUCCUACCCCUACCUAUUUGAAACUCGGGAUUGAGGUAUGUAUUCAGUUUCGCGGAUGAAACUUUUUGUAGUGGGGGAGGAUGUAGUGUUCCUGAGCUUUGGAUAGGAUUGGCUUCAGUAUUAGUGACUGGUCGAUAUCUCUGGAGAGUGUCGGACUGAGUCGAAGUCAAUUCUGUGCGAAUUGGAUGCAGAAUUGGACUCGGUGCACUCAAAUAAGCAAAACUAAAGUUUUGCGAGAUCCGGGCGCCCAGAACAUGGUUUAGGUCGCCCAGAACUGAGUGUUAAAAUUUAACUGAAACUGGAGCCAAUUCGGAUCCUAUGUUCCGGGCGCCCAGAAGUGGGUCCGAAAAUUCUACAUCGUGAAUAUCGUUUGCUUCGACGCGUGGCAGGGUGGUAGGUGAGGUCCGCCGAAGCCGUUUACGGGCGCAGCACACCGCGAGCCGAGAAUCCGAGGAGGAUGAUUUGUGCAGCCUGGAUGUUUCAGUCGCCCAGAACAUGGUUCCGGGCGCCCAGAACAUGGUUCCGGGCGCCCAGAAAUGCCCAUUUCAGCAGGGACACCGGAUUGCAGCUGUUUCUCUUGGGGCUUAUUUUAUCCCUCCAGCACCCUAUAAAUACCUGGUAUACGUCCCCUUUGAGAUCUUUUUACCUGUUCUUCACAGAGAACUUAGAUUUUGCUCCUUAAUCCCUCCAAUCUUUCCAAAUUGCAUCAAGAUCCACAUCUCCAAGAGUUGCGAGGUACUGAUUCUGUAGUUUUCCCAGCGACGACCUUCAGUGUUUUGGCUUGUGCGCGACGUAGGGAUAUCGGAUUUUGACGAAACUUGGUUUGCUAGAUUCUAGACUUUCAGAGGAAUCCACGAAGCCCUGACUUGCAGAAUUUAGUGAAGGUUAGCUCAGUCGAACUCAGGUUUUCCUCUGCUGCUGUUGAUAUGGACAGAAUUGCAUGUUUUUGAGUUUUCUUGGGGUGAACUUUGGAAGCCGGGGCUUUGUGGAGUUGAGUCACAUCCCCUACCAACCAAUACUGGAAUUGGGACCAUCUUCACCUGAUUUGGAGAUUGUUAGGUGAGUUUUGACAUUGGAAUUGGAUAAAUCAUAAGCUUAAGUGCUGAAAUUGACGAAUUGUAAUGCAUUUUGGGUGAAUUGUAAUGUCCAGGUUUUGAGGGGAUUGUUGCUGGUUUGGAGGUGUUUCCAGCUGUGCUACUUGUGAUCCGAGACCAUGUUGCUGCCAGAGGAAUCGCGUUUGAGGUGGGUUUGCAUCGGAUUACUCCUAAGUAAUGAGUAGAUGUUUAGUCGACAUGUAUGUUUUGUUGUUCGGUCUACAAUGUGAUUAGAUUAAAUUCAGUGAUAAGUUGUAGCUGUAACCUGAAUUUAAGCAUACUAAAUAAGUGACAUUUACACAUGUCGGACUUGAAAAAUUGACUUAGGAGAAAACCUGCGUUUUGACCCGUCAUAUGCUUAAACUACCAGAUUUAGCUCUAGGAGCCGUGGGUUGUCUGUAUCGUUGUAGUAUCAGUGCGAUGGAUAUCUGGGGUAGUUUAGAAGGCAUUUACGCUCGUGCUGGGGUGCCGAGCUUAUUUUUCAGCAGAGUCUAGGCUGUUUCGGGUCGUUGGGUGCCGUCCGGGUUGGCGGUGGACCUAGAUUCUUGUUUUGGUUUCAGAUUGUGCCGAGGGCACGUGGGUUUGGUUUGUAGACCUGUUUUGACCCUAUUUACAUGACUUUGGCUAGUUGGAGCCUGAUUGAGCUCGACAGAGAAACGCUGCAUACUCGAUUGGGUAGCUCCCACAAGUGUCACUCCGGAGACGGGCGCUGUGCUUUCGCAUUGGUGUCGCUCAUGCCGAUUGGACUUGCUCUCCACGAACUAGUAGUGUGGAGGUAGCUGGACAGUCACAACUGGCCAGGGACGGGUGUGUUCACAGUCCAAGGGACGGGUAUGCUUACAGUCUCGAUUGGAUUGAGUCAGAUUUGACAUUUCCUACAGUUGGUUAGUGUAGAGCAUGAUAGUGUAGUGAUCCAUAGCUGUAGAUUUCAUUCCUGCAUUUACUGCUAUCUUUGCUCCCUUCUGUAGACUUAGUGGGUGGACCGAUAUUGUUGAGGGCGGCACCCACUGAGGACUACCUGUUUUUACAGUAGUUCUCACGCCCUGUUAUUACCCCCUGUUUUUGCAGAGCCACCAUCGUCGGCUGCUGCUGUCGCAGAUCAGGAUCGAGGCAAGGGCGUCACGAGUUAGAGCCCUACCAGACGUGCCGAGCUAGAGGUACCCUUACUGCAGGUAGAUGUUUUGCUUUGAGUUCAUGUACAUAGUAUGCUUAACUCGCCAGUGCGAGUAGCUCUGUAUUUUCAGUAUUGAACUAUGUAUAUGGAACUCUGUUUGUUUAGCUUCUGUUUACUCUAGCAGCUCUAUACUACUGUUUGUAGUAUUUUAUGGGUUACAGGAACUGCUAUCGCUUCGUAUACAGGGAAAAUUCCUUUGUAUACGGCGGAUUUGUUGGCGUGCCCGGAGAACGUGUAAUCCAGGGCGUGACAGGUGAGGUCCGCCGGAGCCGUUUACGGGCACAGCACACCGCGGGCGGAGGAAUCGAAGGGGAGCAUUUGUGCAGGCUGGAAGUUCUGGGCGCCCAGAACUUGGUUUAGGGCGCCCAGAUCUCGGAUUUUCUGCAGGGAUAGCAGGUUUCAACAAUUGUUCCUGAGGGUUAUCUGACCACUCCAGCACCCUAUAAAUACCUGGUGUACAUCCCCUUUGAGCUCUUUUCACCUGCCCUUCACAGAGAACCCUGAAUUUGCUCUUCAAUCCCUCAAAUAUUCUUAAUUUGCAUCAAGAUCCACAACUCCAAGAUUUGCAAGGUGCUGAUUCUGCAGUUUUUCCAGCGACGACCUUCAGUGUUUUGGCUCGUGCGCGACGUAGGGAAGUCGGAUUGCGACGAAACUUGGUUUGUUGGAUUCUAGACUUCCAGAGGAAUCCAGGAAGCCUUGAAUUGCGGAUUUUGGUUAAGGUUAGCUCAGUCAAUUUCUCAGGUUUCUGGACUGUUGUGGUUUUGGACCUGAUUUUUGGAUUUCUUGAAUUUUCUUGAUACGAUCGUUGGAAACAGGGGGAUUUUGGACCUGAGACUCAUACUCCAUCACUACUCACUGCUUUUGGAACUCCACCUCAACUGAUUUGGAGUCGGAUGGUAAUGUUAGCAUUACAAGUGGAUAAUUUAGCUUAAGUGCUGAAAUUUUAGUUGUAUUGAUGGAUUUUGGAUCUUGUUAAAGUCUAGAGUUUGGAGAACUCUUGUUACUGUCUUGGAGGAGCUUCGGUUGAUCCAGCAGAGGAAGUCCUUGUGGUUCGAGACCUCCUUGCUGUCAGGAAGUGCUUUAGAGAUGGGUUACAUCGGUUUAUUCCAAAGCACAGUAUUAGUCGACAUGCAUGAUUUCCAGUUUUUGUAAAUCAUAUUGUAGCUCAAUUUCGUUGAUUGUAUCAUGGAUGAAAUCAGUAUUGAGGACAUGAUUAGUAAACCAUAAAUAUACAUGUUCGACUUGGAUUUGACUUAGGAGAAAACCGCGAGUAUAACCUGUCAUAUGCUUAAACUACCUGAUUUAGCUCUAGGAGCAGUUGUAAUUUUGUAUCGUUGCAGUAUCGAUAUGACGGAUACCCCAGGUAGUUUAGAGUUCAGUUACGCUCGUGCUGGGAUGCCGAGUGUAUUUUUACAGUAGCAUUAAGGCUGUUCCGGACUGUUGGGUGCUGUCGAAGUUGACGGUGGACCCAUAUCGCCUUUUUGGCGUCGGAUUGUGCCGAAGGCACGUGACCUGUUGGUUGUUAGACCAGUUAGAGUCGGUUACUUGGACUUUGGCUUGAGAGAGCCUGAUUGAGCUCGACAGAGAUACGUUCCAUACUCAAUUGGGUAGCUCCCACGAGUGCCACUCCGGAGACGGGCGCUGUGCUUUCGCAUUGAUGUCGUGCAUGCCGGUUAGACUUGCUCUCCACGGACUGGAUAGUGUGGAGGUAGCUGGAUAGUCCCAACUGGGUGGGGCUGGUGUGUUCACAGUCCCUGGGACGGGUAUAUUUACAGUCCCUAAAGAGAUUAGGUCAGAUUUGACAUUACUACAGCAGGUCAGCUUAGAGCAUGAUAGUGUAAUAAAUGGUAGCUGUAGAUUUUAUUCCAGCAUUUAUUCUACCUUUGCUCCCUUCUGUAGACUUAGUGGGUGGACCGAUAUUGUUGAGGGCGGCACCCACUGAGAACUACUUGUUUUUACAGUAGUUCUCACGCCCUGUUGUUACCCCGUUUUUGCAGAGCCAUCGUCUUCGGCUGCUGCUGUUGCGGAUCAGGAUCGAGGCAAGGGCGUCGCGAGUUAGAGCUCUACCACUACAACAAAAGCGGUCUAUAGCGACACUUUUAAAUGUAGGUACAUGUCAAAAAAGUGCUGCUAGCUAAAAUUACCGACACUUUUAAAAAGUGUUGCUAUAUGUGGGGUCGGUAGGUAUAUAGUAACAGUUAAAGUGUGUCGCUAUAAUCUAAAAGAGUGCUGCUAAUUUACAAAUACUUAUUUAAGCAUUUAGCAACCGCCGAAACUCUAUCUCGUUGGCUGCGGUGGCGGAGGAGGACGACAGGAAAGGCUCUUCGUCUAGAAUUUCAAUGGAUUGAGUGAAGAGAGAAGAAAAGAUGGUAAUUGAUUUUUCUUUUUUUUUUCUUUUCUGUUUGUAAUCGGGUCCAAUGGACUGGAUGUGGUGGGUUGAGUAGAGUAAUCUUUUAUUUUUGGUUGGAUUGGGCUUUAUAUUUAGGCAUAAGUAGAUGUUUUUUUAAGUUUUAGCAUAAAUGGGACACUUACUCAAAAGUGUCUCAAACAUGUGUCCCUAUAACCUAAUUCUGUUGUAGUGUACCCGACGAGCCGAGCUAGAGGUGCCCCUACUGCAGGUAGUUGUUUUGUUGGAGUUUAUGUACAUACAGUUAUUUUAACUCGCUAGUGCGAGUAGUUUCGUAUUUUGGAUUUGAUGUAUGUAUAUGGAACUCAGUUUGUGUUUAGUUUCUGGUUCUUCUAGCAGCUCUAUACUACUGUUUGUAGUAUUGUCUGUUAUACAGGUACAGUUAUCGCUUCGUAUACAGGGGAAAUUUCUUUGUAUACGGCGGAUUUGUCGGCGUGCCCGGGGAUCGAGUAAUCCGGGGCGUGACAGCGUAUAUAUUGCUAAUCCCUAUAUCAAGCAGCCAUAUUCGCGAUAAGCUCGACAUGGUCAAACCCAGCAUUUCAAAUCGAAUCCUUUUUAUUGGGUUGAUUGAGCAGCCAUCUUCGUAAUAGGCUAGGCAUGAUCAAACCCGCGCACAAAAAAUAAUAAAACAAAAAAACAACAAAUAAUUUUAAAAAUGAGCAUAUUGUGAUUUGCCAUCUUCGUGAUAGGCAUUGUUCGAACCAUUCGUCAUCUUCAUGAGAGGCACGGUUCGACUCGAUCAAUUUGUCAUCUUCGUGAUAGACAUUGUUCGAAUCAUUUGCCAUCUUCGUAAUAGGCAUGGUUCGACUCGAUCAAUUAGCCAUCUUCGUGAUAGGUACUAUUCGAACUAUAUGCCAUCUUCGUGAUAUGCACGAUUUGGCUUGAUCAAUUAACCAUCUUCAUGAUAGACACUAUUCGAACCAUAUGCCAUCUGUGUGAUAGGUACGGUCCGAUGUGACCACAUUGUCGUGAUAGGCACAUGUUCGAUCAAAUUGCCAUCUUCGUGAUAGGCAUUACUCAAUUUAAUCGAACCUAAUGUUUAGGACGGGUUGUCUAAGCGACGUCCUCUGAGUGCAACAUAAAGAUUGAUGAUUCAUGAAUUUGGCAUUGAUUUUAGACCGGACCAAAUCAAUUCGAAUUGAAUCCGACAUGAAAAAAAGGAACUGUUUAGAAUUAAUUAAUUCAUAAAUUUAAAGGAGCCUAAUCUACAAUUCACUUAUGUGCUCAAUGAACAAAAUCCAACAUACAAGGCCCAAAUAUCAUAGACUCAACCCAUACGCAGUCCAUCAACAAAACUAAAUUCAAUCCAGCCCAAAACCUGAAUCCAGCCCAUAUACAAUGCAGAUUCAGUCUAUAUACGGGCCCUGCAUAUAGCCCGUAUGCAAAUAUAUAUAGGCCCAAUCUACUCACGGGCCCUGAAUCCAGCUCGUAUACAAUGCUGGCCCAGUUGCUUAUGGAUUGAAAACCCAGUCCACAUAAAAAUAAAGUCCAGUCUACAUAUGGGCUCCAAAUUUAGCCCACAUGCUAAUAAAGCACAAAAUUAGAUUCAGAACCUAGUCCAUAUAUAAAUAUAUUCCUUGAUUCAGUCUAUAUGCAAAUUCGGGUCCAAAACCCAUAAAACCGAAAGUCCACAAUAAAAUCCAACCUAAUCUAGUGCGGCUUAUCAAACCAUCAAAACCCAAGAGCAUAAAACCCAAAACGACCAAACCCGUAUCAUCCAAAAUGCCUUCAACCCAAACAAAAAAAAAUGGGCUUCCAAAUGCCUUCAACUCAAACAAAAAAAUGGGCUUCUAUCACGAACUAAUUUCAUGAAUCAAAAAAGAGGUGCUAUCAUGGACUACCUUCAGGAAUCAAAAAUGGGAUUUCAUCAUAGGCUCAUAUCAUGAACUAACUUCAUGAAUCAAAAAGGGAUUUCUAUCAUGAGCUAAAGAUAGCUUUCCGCCAUAAUGAGCUUUCAUCAUAAACUCAUAUUGUAACGACUCGAUCCGGUAGCAACAAUAAUUCGUUGGGCCCAAACCAUUGGCCUAAAAUGCUUAAGCCCAGUUAUUAUUACUAGUAUGUAGGCUUCAUAUAUUCUAAUCAAAAUUAUUUUUCCAUCUGAUGUGGGGCUAUUGGGGAGUUUGUGGAAUCAUUUUUCUAUCUGAUGUAGGACUAUUGCGGCGUUAUAAACUCCCCUUGUUUAGACCCUGAUCCGAUGAGAGACUAUUGGAAAGUUCGUGGAAUCAUUUUCCUAUCCAAUGUAGGACUAUUGCAGCAUUACAAACUCCCUCUGUUUAGACUCUGACCUAAACCAAAUCACAGAUGCAGACCAGAAUUACCAAGCAAUAUGAGAUUCUAGAGGUGGCUUCUACGGGUUCAAGAGGUGGUUCCCAUCAAACCCAUUGGUGUAGCACUUUGUCCACCAUAGCACUUAGCUCUCACACUUCCGGUUGACAUUCGGCUCUAAUGCCAAUUGUAACGACCUGAUCCGCUAGCAACAAUAAUUCGUUGGGCUAAAACCACUGGCCUGAAAUACUUAAGUUAAGUUAUUAUUACUAUCGUGUAGACCUCAUAUAUUCUAAUCAGAAUCAUUUUUCCAUCCGGUGGACUAUGGGGGAGUUUGUAAAAUCAUUUUUCCCACCGAUGAGAGACUAUUGGGGCGUUACACAUAUGAACUAAAUACGGAGUGCCUUCAACCAAAUUGUAAGGGUUCGAUCUAAAUCAAAUCCCAACGGGUUCUGACCCAAAGUAUAGCGAUUCAGCCCAAACCAAUCUAAAAAAGGCCAAACAAGCCUAAGGUGGCUCAACACAAAUCAAAUACAAGGGGAUCAAAUUAAUUCAACCUGAACUCAACUAGAAUGAUCCAAAUAAAGUAAACCAAAGAUUAAGUAAACCAGCUCCGCUCGAACUGAAAUAGAUCAACGGUUCAGACUGAGCUGAAUCAAAUUAAUCGAUCGAGUCAACUGAAUCAACUCACAAGCCAGAUUUAAAUGACUGCAAAGUCUUUAUACUAAGCAACCCAAAAUCAAAUGACCACAAAGUCUUUAAACUAAACAAUCCAAAUUCAAGUGCGCAAGACGUUAAACUAAGCAAGUCAAAAUCAAACUCUACUCAAAUCGACCACCAUAUCUUUAAACUAAGCAUCUCAACUUCAAGCUGACCACCGCAUCAUUAAACUGAGCAACACAACUUAAACUAACCGCCAAGUCGUUAAACUGAGCAAACGAAAUUCGAACUCAAAUUGACGGCUAAGUCGUUAGUCUGAGCAAAUUAAAUUUAAACUCAACUCAAUUUAACCGCUAAAUUGUUAAACUGAGAAAAUUAAAUUUAAAUUCAACUCAACUCUACUGCUAAGUCCAUAAACUGAGUAUUAAUGCUUUACAAAAUUCAUGUAAAGUGGGGGUAAUGCUUUACAAAAUUCAUGUACAGUGGGAGUAUGCCUCUGCUUAAGCCAUGUACAUAGCAAAUCAUAUUAAUAAAAUUUUAUCUUCAUGCUUUGGUCUCGUUUAUUAUCAGCAUUCAUGUUCGGUCUCUUAAUCGAAGGUUCCUUAAUACUGUCAAUGUGGAUAAUUAACAGCAGAUUCUUGAACCUGCUGGAAGCCAUUAACCAACAAUCCUGAUUUCAAGACAAAACUUAAAUAAAUUUAAUCUGUACCAUAAAUGACCACUCGUCGGAGAAAAGCUUGCGGCGGGGCCGCUUCGUUCGUGGCGGCAGACAUGCUGUAAAAGGAAGUCUUCUCCUCCAUUUUAAUCAAGCCAAAUGAAGGCCAAUUCAAUGGCCAUAUUAUUUGAAGGUUCUGAUGUUUAAGUCCUUUUUGUCUCUUAUUUUCAGUAGCCUUCUAUUACUUCUCUACCUAGUACAAGUCAAAAAGAAUUUAAAAGGAAAAUGCGGCACUACAGGUUAAAGUAGCCAACCAACUAAAUAACCUACUCAUCUCUUCACUCUUUCUCCUAGAUCUGAACCACAUAAAUUAAUAUUCACUACAUAAACUAAUAGGCAAGAACUAAAUGUGGUAUGAAUUACAAAAUUCUAUUCAAACAUUAAUCAUACUAAACUACUCAAUGUAUAGCACCAACUAGAACAAACUUCUAAUCUGUUGCUAUUGUUGAUGCAGGAUGAAAUUGGAAUCUUAAAAUGAACUUUUAAGUCAUUUAAGAUUCAAAACUUAAAUUGAUUGAGAGUUACGAUCUCCAAAUUAUGCUCAAGUACCUUCUUAAGCUGACUUCAAGAACCCGAAAGGAGAAAGGAAGAAAUGAAAAAAAUGAUAAGAAAAAAGUGGAAGUACUUGAGCAGAAAAACAAAAUUGAGCAUAUAUUUUAAGGAUUUUGAAGCAUCUAAUUUGGAAAUGGUCGAAAAGCCUCUGAAUUUGUUCACAGCUUUAGUUUCUUUCUACACGUUUUCUUCUAAAUUUCUCUCAGCAAAUCUUUAGCCUUCGUUUGUAUAGAUUAAAAAAGAAAAAACCAGCUUCAUUAUCUGGAUCCACAAAAUUGAUUCCCUACUUUCUGCAGGGGUCUGACAUUUAAGAAGCAACAUGAAAUAAUUGAGAGGUCAAGAAGUAUAGUUUUACGUUAAAAAAAGCCGUGUUAAAAGAUUUAAGAACAUUUAAAGUAUCAACAACAUAAAGAAUAACAAUGAGUAUGAUACAACAAUAACAAUAAUGAACGAUAAAAGUAAGUUUAUAAUUAGUAUUAUAAUUAAUAGAUAAAGGAUGAUAAAGGGAAAAAAAGAAAAGAAAGGAAGAGUAUACAUAUAGAUCAAAACUAACUCCUGAAAGUUAUAGGAUCCACGUCUAUAGGAUUAACAACUUACACCUUCAUUAUGAGAUCACGCCAGAAAGCAGAAUGCAUCUUUAUUUUGAAAUUCCUGAGAGUACAAAACUGUAUGUAAUUAAAUAGUUUUCCAAAAUAACUGAAAUACCUCUCAGCAUCCUUGUAUUGAUUAACUCUAAGGUUGGAAUAAUGAUCUUGUAGAUGAAAUCAGGAAGAAGAUUCACGGCACAAAGCAAGGGGAGAUGACUAUUGGAUAGUAUUUCGCAGCAUGGAUUUAAGUGCCGUGGCAAGGGGUCAUGCUGGAAACUUGCCAGCACGGUACGGCACGGUGCGUGCAGGUAACAAAAAAUACAUGUGUGCUGACACAUAAUGACAUGAAAUAUUUAUUUUCUUUAGCACACUACAACAAAAACGGUCUAUAGUGACACUUUUAAAUAUCGGUACAUGUCAAAAAAAGUGCUGGCUAAAUUACCGACACUUUUAAAAAGUAUUGCUAUUUGUGAGUUUGCUAGGUAUACAGUGACAAUUAAAGAGUGUCACUAUAACCUAAAAAGAGUGCUACUAAUUUACCAAUACUUAUUUAAGCAUUUAGCAACCGUCGAAACUCUACCUCGUUGGCUGCGGUGGCGGAGGAGAACGAGAGGGAAGGGCUCUUCGUCUAGAAUUUCAGUGAAUUGAGUGAGGGGAGAAGGGAAGAUGGUAAUCGAUUUUUUUUUUUUCUUUUCUCUUUGUAAUCGGGCCGAAUGGACUAGGUGGGGUGGGUUAAGUAGAGUAACCUUUUACUUUUUGUUGGAUUGGGCUUUAUAUUUAGGAAUUAAUAGAUAUUUUUUUAAGUUUUGGCAUAAAUGGAACACUUACACAAAAGUGUCCCAAACAUGUGUCUCUAUAACCUAAUUCUGUUGUAGUGGCAACAAAGUUUUCUAGCGGUUUAUUAUGUAUCAUUAUCAAAUUUUUUGAACUUUAUUUGAGAUAAUUACUUAGUAAUUUGAAGAAUACAGGGUUUUGAGAUGUGCCAUCGGCACAGGGGGUUGUAUUGUGCCGAUAUUUUGUUGGCACGAUACCACACGAUAGAUACGGCCUGUGCCGAUGGGCACUUAAAUCCUUGCUUCGCAGUGUCUGCUAGUCUGUAGUAGGAGAUGGACUACUAUCAAGAUAUCCACAGUGGCUGCACAGGAGAUGCAAUCAAGUUUCAGAGGGUUUAAGAUUUCUCGGCUGGCCUACAACCUGAAUUUGAUCAAAUCAAGUUCAUGUCUAGGAAAGGAUCCUUUCCUGUCAGUACGGAAGACAUGCAUUUGUAGAGCAAGAGGAGAGCAGAUACCUGAUAAGUUAGCCUUGUUCAUCAAUUUCUUCCUCGAAGAAUGUAAAGGGAAAUCGGAUUAGAGGAAUUGAUAAAAGAAUGGCCAAAAAGAUCAGCAUAAAUGUGAUCACUGUGGGAGAACUGAACACACUUCGUCGACUGAUGUCUAAGCUUGCUUCAAUUCUACUUUCUCCACUAUCCAAUACUGCCACUGCUAAUUGUGCUUUGUUAGAUAUAGCUAUUAGUGCUUCUAGUUGCACGCGUAACAUAUUUCUCACCUCAAUUAUUGAUAGUUUAUUGGAUCAUUUCUUAUCCUACUUUCCUUCUUUAGGUUAGGAAAAAAAAAUUCAUAUUGCUAAUGGUUCCUAUCUUCUAUUUUUGGGAAAGGUUCCAUAGCAUACUUCUGAUCUAACCUUGUCCUCUAUUCUUCACGCUCCUAAUUAUCCAAACAAUCUUUUAUAUAUAAAUGUAAUAACUAGGGAUCUUAACUAUAACAUGAUCUUUUUUUCUUUUCAUUGGGUUUUUUAGAAACUGGAUAUGGGGAAAAUAAUUGUCUGUGGAAAGAUGCAUGAUAGGCUUUAUCUCCUAGAAGAAGGAACAGAUUGAUUAUAUAGAGUUAUAGACAUCAUUCUGCUCUCCCGAUUGAUGCGACAUCAGCCUGUCAAGAGAUACACCAAUAGCAUCGACGACUUGGUCAUCCUUCCUUUAGAAUAUUGAAACAAAUGAUUCCUCAGUUGUUUCAGCACUGUAAUCUUGAACGUUUGAAGUGUGAUGCUUGUAAGUACAAGCUAUUAAUUUCAAAACCUUACUUAAGAUAUUGUUAGGUACCUCUAAUUACAUUAUGCCUCUGAAAUUGUUUGAAUUUGCUUGUUUUGUACAUGUCACCGAAGGACAAAUGACAAACUUGAUCCUCGGGCCAUGAAGUGUCUUUUCAUUGGGUAUUCUGCUUCUCCAACGAGUUACAAAUGUUAUCACCGCAUACAAGGAUGACAUUCAUCACUAUGGAUGUUAUCAUGUUACCUUCAAGGAGCAUGUGGCCUGUUAUCACCGAUCAUCUCUUUAGGGGAAGAGUCAAUUUAAGAAAGAAGAGACGAAUGUUGAUACGACCGUUUAUGUUCCCAGAUGGACGUCAACACUUGAACUACGACAAAAUGAGGGAGAGAGGGAAAUGAUAUUAAGGGAGAGGAAUAGAGAAAUGAAAUCGAGUUGGGCGGGGAGAGAAAUGGAGUUGAGGCAGAGGGAGAGAAAGAUGAAGUUAAAGGAAAAAGGCAAAACAAUAUUCUGAGGAGACAGAAAAAAAGUGAUUGUGAAUAGCAAGCAUACACUUGAAAACGAAGAAAGUAUAAAUCUAUCAUGCACUCCUCACCUAGCUAAGAGCUCUCUCCGGAUCCAAUUCUUUUUAUCUCACCUCUCUCCAAGCCAAGAGCUAUCUACAUACCUAGUUCUUUCUUCUCAAUCUCCUCAAAGUCAUUGUCCGUCUCUUGCUCAUAUGAAGUCUUCCAAUUUUAAUCCUGUGAGUUCGAAAUCACUCUAAACAUCCAAUUUCUGAUCGACUUUGUUUUAUAUGCGCCAUUAUCUCCUUUGUAUAGAGCUUUUAUGUCAUCCUUGUCUUCUAUCUACAUUCUACAGAAUUGGAUGGAGGAACUUGUAGAUUCCAAGUGAAACGAAGCUAUGUUGAGGAGAUGAAAGCUUAGCGAAAUGAGACAUGGGAACUUGUUGAACUAUCUACUGGAAAAAGACUCGUCGGAUGCAACUGGGUUUUUAUUGUGAACUAAGCAUAAGGUAAACAUACAAGUCGAGAGAUAUAAAGUCAGACUUGUCACAAAAAAGUUUUACUCAAAUCCAUGGAGUUAAAUAUCAGGAGACUUUUGUUCCCUUUGCAAAACUAAACUCCAUUUGCAUUCUCCUAUCACGUGCUGCAAAUCUUGAAUGGGAGUAACAACAAUUAAAUCUGAAAAUUGCAUUUCUACAUGGUGACAUAAUGGAAGAAGUGUAUAUGGAGGUUGGUUUCUCAUCACAAAAACCAAUAGGGAAAAUGUGUGAAUUAAAAAAAGGUGCUAUAUGGCUUAAAGCAAUCAACAAGAGCUUGGUUUGACAGAUUUAGCUAAGCAAUGCCAGCAUUUGGGUAGAAGCAAAACAAUCCUGAUCAUAUACUAUUUACUAAAAAGAUGCAAUCAUAAAGUUGUCAUUCUCAUUGUUUAUGUUGAUGAAAUAGUGGUAAUUGGAAAUAAUGCAAUUGGAGAUGAACAAACUCAAGAAUUAUCUUGUACAAAAUUUUGAGAUAAAGGAUCUAAGAAAGUUGCAAUAUUUUCUAGGAAUUGAAGCGGCGAGAUCAUAAACAGGCAUAUUUAUAUCACAAAGAAAAUACAUUUUGGACUUGCUCCAACAAACUGGUAUGCUUGGAUGUGGACCAGCAGAUUCACCUACUGAGGCAGACUCACCUACUGAGGCAAAUCAUCGAUUGAAGGGUGAAUUAAGUUGGCGAAUCUAUUGAUUAGAAAAGGUAUCAACAAGUGGUGGGUAGAUUGGUUUAUAGGUCUCACACUCGAACUGAUAUAACAUGUGUGGUGAGUGUAGUUAGUUAGUAUAUUCUGCCUCACUUGAAGACAAUUUGUCGUAUUUUGAGGUACUCAAAAUCAUCUCCCGGAAAGUGGACUUCUCUUUGCAAAUGAUAGUCAUUUGAAAAUUGAAGCUUUUACAGAUGCAGAUUUGGAUGGCUAUCCAAAUGACGGAAGAUCUAUUUGAAGAUACUACACAUUUGUAAGAGGUAAUAGUUUAGUCACCUGGAGAAGUAAAAAGUAGAGAGUUGUUGUCAGAUCAAAUGCACAAGCAGUGCAUAGAGCUAUAGCAUAUGGCUUAUGUGAAUUGUCGUGGCUUAGAAAAAUUAUGCGUUAGGAUUGACAAAUAUCAAGCCACUAAUGUUUGCAAUGUGACAACAAAGGUGCCAUCAACAUAGCCCACAAUCCUGCACAACAUGAUAAGACAAAACAAAUUGAAGUUGAGUUGAAUUUUAUCAAGGAGCUGGAGAAGGGUAUCAUCUGCAUUCUGUUUGUGAAGUCACAGGACCGAACAGCAAACAUUCUCACUAAAGGACCUAGGAGUGUUUUAUUUAACGUUUUGUAUACACGAUGGGCAUAAGAAAUAUAUAUGCUCCAUUUUGAGGGCAGUGUUAGUUUAGUAUAAUUCCAAUCUUCUCAAAGACUUUUACGUAAAAAUGCAUUAUAAAUUAAUUAGUUUAGAAUUGCAGGUGUAAAAUCCCCUAAAACUCUUUUCCUCAUUCUUUUCUCUAUUAACUAUCAAGUUACAACAUGGUUAAGAAACUUUAGAGCUGUUACGACAAAAGCGGAAAAUAUUUAGUUUGUUGGGCACAAAAAUACCAAAAGAAAACCGAGAAGUAGAGAAGAAAAAUAAAUCACAUAAUUAUUUACAUGGUUCGGCCACGCAAGCGAAGACGAAGUACAAACUUUAAUUAUAACCGAAAGAGAACUGUACCCUCAAAAGAGAACCCAUACUUUUUCUUAUCUGCCGUACCAAAUCAAUAAAAUAAAAGGUAUAUGUAUUUUGACUAAAAUCUAAUGAGAAUAGGAAUAAUCUCAAAAAGAUAAUUAUAAUCUUAAGUUAACUUAAUGGGUUGACUAAAAUAAAAUAAUGAUAGAAAAUCUUCCGAUUCUAUAAUUCAAGACACAUCUAACAAAUGUUUUUUUUUUAAAAAAAUCUUCAAACACACUCCUGUGGUUUAGCGCUUUCUCACUUUAGUACCCUGUGAUUUGAAAUGCAUCACUUUAGUAUCCUGUGGUUGCAUUUUUCUCUCUCUGUUGCCCCCUCUAUUUAGCAUUUUUAUUAAACCAGUGAUAAAAUUAAAACCACAAGGUACUAAAGUGAAAAGCUAGUAAACCACAGGGGAGUAUAUGAAGUUUUCUCUUUAUGCUUUAACAACAAAGUUAACAAAAGGGCUGACAAAAAGAGAAAAAUAGAACCUUAGGAUAAUAAAGUGAUACACUUUUAAACCACAGGGUGUUAGAGUGAGAAAGAGCGCAACCACAGAGGGGGUACUUGAAGUUCUCACUAUUUUCUUGGCUGUACAUUUGGGGUGAAAGGCCAUCGGUUAUGGUACCCUGAUCCCAAAGCAUCUAAAUUUCUUAUUAGUAGGGAAGUUACUUUUGAUGAGUCUACUAUGUUUCACCUGAAAAAAGAGUCUUUUGUUGGCACACUUUUGAGAAAGUGAAGACCGUUAAGAAACAGGUUGAGUUUCAGAUUAAUGACUCAAUAUACCUGCAAGAAGUUCUGUGAUGCUCCAACUUCCCAAGGGGUCACCUAAAAUGCUUAAGCCGGGUUAAGAGUUUUAGCCCUAUUAUAUCGUAUAUAUAGGACUAUCUGGGGUUUCACAUACUCCCCCCAUUUAAGUCCUGACGUCCUCAUCAAACUCAGACUCACAAGUACCUGACAAUGUGAGACUCGUCUCGUUAGCCUAAACCGACCUUGUGGUGAGCUACGCUCCACCCACAAUACCCAACAGCAUGGGAGCUCUAUUAGAAAUUGUAUUAAAUAAAUAAUAUCCGUCCAAUUUAUUUAAUUUUUAAAUUAAAUAAAAAAUUAAGUAUAUUGUCUCAUCUUUUUAGAAAUGGAUGAAAAUCCUUUUCUGCUUUUGAAAACUUCUAUUUAUUCUAUUUUUUAAAUAGAAAAUAAUAUUAUCUCCUUGCAUCUUUUUUUAAAAAGAUUAAAAAUGCUCUCUUCACCUACGGUAGAACAAACAAAAUUUAACUAUUUUUUAUACAAUUAUAAUAAANUAAUAUUAUCUCCUUGCAUCUUUUUUUAAAAAGAUUAAAAAUGCUCUCUUCACCUACGGUAGAACAAACAAAAUUUAACUAUUUUUUAUACAAUUCUACUAAAGAUUUAGAAAUUAUUGAAUAUAUAAAUAUCACACUCAAUCUGAAUUAUUUUAAAAAAUAUAAUAUUCUUUUUCAAAUAUAUGUAUACGUGCAUUGCACGUACACUUUGCUAGUGCAUACAAAUACAGAUACAUAUAUGUAUAUGUAUCCAAAUAUAUGUACCAUUUGUGUAUAUAUUGUUGAAAAAUUAUCUUUCUAAAUCUUUAGUAGAAUAUUCUUUUAAAUAAUUUUUGAAUAGAAAGAAUAUAACUUUAGUUUUGAAAACCGCAAGUAAAAAUUAAACAGUUACUACUAUAGAUAUUAAGAGGUCAGAUGAGGCCUGUGAGUCGAGGCGUGUGAAAGCAUUGUCUUAGAAGCGAGAUUGUCCCUCCACGUGCGAGGCUUUGACAAUCACUCCUAGCGAUACAAUGACCACUGCCCACCCCGUCGGCAUAUCUUCAGGAUGGCGCAACACGAACCCAAUAAACUUUCAGAGAUCCAGCAAAAAUGGCAAUGUGAAGUUGAGUGCAUAAUAGAUGUAAAAAUCAGCGUGAAAGAAGGUGAGGAAGAAGAGUAUUUUGCAAGCUCGGGUUAUGUCUUAUGCACCAACACAAGUGCACCUUCACUUACAUAUUGGAGAGAUUUAGAAUAGUUCAAUGGGAAAAUCCUGGUCAAGAUCUAGCUCCUUCCCGAGGUUGGACUAAGAUAUGAUUCCUUUCCGAAGUUGGACCAAAUCUGGACAAUAUCCAGAUUAGAUCUAGUCAAGAUCUCGUAUGGCUCCUUCCCAAGGUAAGGCCAUCAUUGGAUAAAAAUAAAAUAAAAAGAAAAAAGUGUAAAUGAACCGAGUUCACGCACGCCGCCACCCGGCCCGGCUCGUGCUCGUGCUCGUGCGUUUAGUCGAGAGCUCCACUCUCAUGUUCUCCCAAGCAACUAAAGUUGAGAGUGAGAGUGUAUAUAAAGUGUAGUAAAAUGCCUUUGGUUUCCAAUGUGGAACUAAACUUCACAUGUGGAAAUUAAGGCACGGGCUCCCAAGUAAGACUACAGAGAGUUGAGCUGCCCAGGAAGCCCAUGGACCAAAUUCAAGUUUUAAAUCACUGUUUUAAAAAAUUAAAACUAACAUAUAUAUAUAUAUAUAUAUAUAUAUAAUAUAUAGAACUAGGCUGGAAUACUAUCAAUAGCACUAAGCUAUUGGUGCUAUUAGGUUUUUAGUCCUUGGAUUGAGAAAUGUGUGGUUACGCUAAUAUGGGCCCUCUAGGGUUGAGUGGGUGCUUGGUUGAAUAGUAUAAUCUAACGGGUAAAAAUAAUCAAAGGGGUUAAAUCUACCGAUGGAAAACUCGAUAGUACCAAGCUCUUGGUGCUACCGAUAGUAUUCCAGCCGGACUUCAUAUAUAUAUAUAGAUAUAGAUCUAGGCUGGAAUACUAUUAAUAGCACCAAUGACUUGGUGCUAUUAAGUUUUCUGCCCUUGGAUUAAAAGAUGUGUGAUUAGGAUGAUGUGGGCUCCCUAGGGUUGAGUGGGUGGUUAGUUGAAUGGUAUAAUCGAAUGGAUGAAAAUGAUAAAAGAUGUAAAUCUAACGACAGAAAACUUGAUAGCACCAAAUGCUUUAUGCUAUCGAUAGUAUCCCAGCCGGACUCUAUAUAUAUGAGCUAGGCUGGUAUACUAUCGGUAGCACGGAAGCCUCCGUGCUACCAAGUUAUUUUCAAUGAUACGGCUUUCAAAUCAACGAUCAACUCCAUUAGACUUGAUCUACACAAUUAAAAGUAUUUGGAAACUAAAUUUCAUAAUUUUUCGAUAUCAUUUAGCUAGUGAUUAAAAGGUCUCAAAAUUGACAAUUUUAAUAGUAGAUGUGAUGCGUUUGUGAAUUUAACGGUGUAAAACAAUCCAAAUCUGAUGAAAUUUUUAUAGAAAAUUCCUUUAACUAUUUAGAGUAAGAUCAGUACCUCUGAUCUUAAAUUCAAGUCUUUUAUCAUCAUUUUUUAUGAGAUUUUUAUUUUUAGCUGUUCAUUUUUAGGCUAUUCAUUUGAUAGGUAAAUGAUGCCGAAAAAUUAUGAAAUUUAGUUUCCAAAUACUUUCAAUAGUGUAGAUCAAGUCUAACGGAGCCGAUAGUCGAUUUGGAAGCCGCAUCAUUGAAAACAACUUGGAAGCACGGAGGCCUCCGUACUACCAAGUUGUUUUCAAUGAUGCGGCUUCCAAAUCGACGAUCGGCUCCGUUAGACUUGAUCUACACUAUUAAAAGUAUUUGGAAACUAAAUUUCAUAAUUUUUCGAUAUCAUUUACCUAUCAAACGAGUAGUCUAAAAAUAAAUGGCUGAAAAUAAAAAUCUCCUAAAAAAUGAUGAUAAAAGACUUAUAGAAAAUUCUUUUCACUAUUUAGAGUAAGAUCAGUACCUCUGAUCUUAAAUUCAAGUCUUUUAUCAUCAUUUUUUAUGAGAUUUUUAUUUUUAGCUGUUCAUUUUUAGGCUAUUCAUUUGAUAGGUAAAUGAUGCCGAAAAAUUAAGAAAUUUAGUUUCCAAAUACUUUCAAUAGUGUAGAUCAAGUCUAACGGAGCCGAUAGUCGAUUUGGAAGCCGCAUCAUUGAAAACAACUUGAUAGCACGGAGGCCUCCGGGCUAGCGAUAGUAUGAUGUACAUGUGUAUGUAUUUAUAUAUAGAGCUAGGCUGGUAUACUAUCGGUAUAUAUAUAUAUAUAUAUAUAUAGAAUUGAGCUAGAAUACUUUUAGAAGCACCAACCCCUUGGUGCUUCUAGGGUUUAAGCCCUUGGAUCUACUCCUUGAUUACUAGUAACCCUUGGAUUAAACACUAUUCCACCUACCACCACCUACCACCACCUAACACCAUCAUCCCAACCUUACAACUCUGAUCAUCCAAUGGCCAAAAACUCAAAAGCACCACCCUCUUGGUGCUUUUGAGAGUAUUCUAGCUCAACAAUAUAUAUGUAUGUGUAUGUGUAUGUGUAUGUGUAUGUAUAUGUAUAGAGCUAGACUGGUAUACUAUCGGUAGCACGGAGGCCUCCAUGCUACCAAGUUGCUUUUAAUGAUGCGGCUUCCAAGUCGACGAUCGGCUCCAUUAGACUUGACCUACAGUAUUGAAAGUAUUUGAAAACUAUAUUUCAUAAAUUUUUGGUAUCAUUUACCUAUCAAACGAGUAGUCUAAAAAUAAAUGGCUGAAAAUAAAAAUCUCCUAAAAAAUGAUGAUAAAAGACUUGAAUUUAACAUCAGAGAUACUGAUCUUACUCUAAAUAGUGAAAAGAAUUUUCUAUAAAAAUUUCAUCAGAUUUGGAUUAUUUUACACUGUUAAAUUCACAAACGCAUCACAUCUAGCAUUAAAAUUGUCAAUUUUGAGACCUUUUGAUCACUAGCCAAAUGAUGUCGAAAAAUUAUGAAAUUUAGUUUCCAAAUACUUUUAAUAGUGUAAAUCAAGUCUAACGGAGUCGUUCGUCGAUUUAGAAGCCGUAUCAUUGAAAAACAACUUGGUAGCACGGAGGCCUCCGUGCUACCGAUAGUAUACCAGCCUAACUCUAUAUGUAUAUGUAUAUAUAUGUAUAUGUAGAACUAGGCUGGAAUACUAUUAAUAGCACCAAUGACUUGGUGCUAGUAAGUUUCUUUCCUUACAUUAAAAGAUGUGUGGCUAGGAUAAUGUAGGCCCUCUAGAGUUGAGUGGGUGGUUAGUUGAAUAGUAUAAUCGAACGGAUGAAAAUGAUAAAAGAGGUAAAUCUAAUGGCAAAAAACUUGAUAGCACCAAAUGUUUCGUGCUAUCGUUAGUAAUCCGAGGUUAUGUAUAGAGUAAGGCUAUGGAGUUGUGAAAAGCACAAGACUUGGUCUUGUUAAACGUUUUUUACCGUUAAGAUCUACGCCUUUUUGAUCAUUUAAAACUCCGUUGUAGUAUACUUAUCAAAACCACCCCCACUCAACCACUCAGGGGCGCACAUCAUCCUUAAACCGCUACGAUCACUUAAUCAAUGCCAAAAAUCUACAAGCCAAUCCAAACUAACUUGGUAUUUAAAAGCAUAGGAGUCUUAAUUAUACAUAUAUAUAAUAACAUAUAUAUAUAUAUAUAUAUUAUAUGGUCCGGCUACUAUAUUCUAUUGUGAAAGUACGAUCGAGCCUUCGGUACCAUAAGUUGUUUUCGAUAUAAGCUUUCCGAUAUCGACGAUCCACACCGUUAAAGUUAUUUACGGCAUUUAUAACUUUCUAAAAAUCAAAUUUAUAAUUUUUUGACGAUCAUUUAUCUUAUGAUCAAGAGGUCACCAAAUUGACAAUAUUUUAACGGCCCGGUAAUGGGAAUACUUGCUAGUUUAACGGUUAUGUAAAAAGAUCGGAAUUUGUUGAAUUUUUGAUAGAAAAUUCUAUUCAUACAUAGUAUAAGAUGCAAUAACUCCGAUCUUGAAUUGAGAGGAUCGAUUAUUCUUUUUAUAGGACGUCGUUUCGAUUGUGACCGUUCAUUAUUUGUGCCCACUGAUGGACUUUAUUAUGAUUUCAGAAAUUUACGAUAAUUUAUUUUCUAGGAAGCAUGGACUCCUAUUACUAUAUAUAUAUAUACACACACGUAUAUAUAUAUAUAUAUAUAAUUAAGCUCCUAUGCUUUUAAAAGUACCAAGUUAUUGGUGCUUGUAGAUUUUUAGCCAUUGGAUUAAGAAAUAUACGGUUAGGAUGUUGUGAGCCCCCUAGGGUUGAGUGACUUGUUGGUUGAAUAGUAUAAUCUAAUGGUUGAAAAUGAUCCGAGAAAUAGAUCUAACGGUAAAAAACUUACAAGCACCAAGUGUAAAUAGUUACGUUUAACUUUAAGGUUGUAACAACUCAAAAGAUUAUCAUUAAGCACUGAAAAAUUACCUUAACCGAAGAUAAUUACUGUCCCAUAUAUAUAUAUGCUAACUCCACUUUUGUAUCUCCUCAACCCAACUGACCAUUAAUUACUGAUCAAUCUCCACUCUCUUCCAUGCUUCACAAUUAAUAUCCAUUUACAUAAAUACUCUGAUUGCAAAAUUUAAUUGAAUAAUGUUAUCCCUCUUUCUCUGUUCAAAAGGAAAAAAUGUGGAAAUGACCAAAAACAUUUUAAUUUAGUUAAGAUGAUCAACCAUGCAUACAUCAAUAUCACAGGACUUUAAUUAGAUGCAAUAUUAUUUAAAAAGGAUAGCAGGUAGUCUGCAUAUCCAUGAAUUUCAUAUACCCAAUGAUACAUGAGGAUACUAACCGUUCCUAGCGCAAGUGGCAAAAGACUUGAUAGUUGGUAUCCGAGGCCCCAAGUUUGAAUCCUAAUUGAUUUAUACUUUCAACUAAAUUUUCUAAUUGAUUUAUAUUUUCAGCUAAAUUUAUUUUUAAAAGAAAUAAACAAAGAAGGUAACAUGCUACCUUUUUCUCAAAAGAAAAAAAAAUGAUCCAUGAUCAGGAUUAAUUAACUUACAGAAACAAAAUGCAUAUAAAUUACAUUAGAUGCAAGAACAUACCAAGAACUGUAUUAGUUCUAAAAAUUUGCAAACAAGGAUAUUCGUCUAGCAUAUCUUCAAAGUAUAGUUAUGAAGCACUUACCUUUACCAACUGUAGACCCAGAUACUAAUACUUUGUUUGGAACUACAAUAAAAAGAAAAUUUUGGACUUCUAGUAUCUUCUUUUAGCUGUUUCCUCCUACAGCUGGCCAGUAGUAAGAGUUAGCCUACAUACGAAACUUCCUAAGAAUUGCUAACCAAUGAGGAGGAACUUCAUAUAAGCCACAGUCCAUAAGAAUUGCUAAGAUUUUUCUCGAAAGUAAAUGGCUCUCUCUCUCUCUCUCUUUCCUCUUACUUUUCCACCCUACUGUUCAGGAAACUCAAUUUCUAAAUAUAUGGGAGCACCAGCUCCGAUUAAUCCCCCAACUUUGUGAACCACCUUCCUCAACAUUCUCCUUUGCGUCCACAUCAUACGUACAUAUAUAGAGAGUGAGUCUAACUAAAUUUCACUUCAAGAGUCGAUCUCCUGAGGCUCAGAAAAAUCAGGUGGCAGAAGCACACAUAUAUAAGCGUACGUGUGUGUAUAUAUAUAUAUAUAUAGUAUAGUUAUAUAUAACAUGCACCAACAUGACAUCAACAUGAACAGAUGUGUAGUAUUGCCAAAUGCUACCUAGCUAGCUAGCUCCACGGCCAACGAUUAACACGAUAUAUAUCAACCACAAUAAACAAUCACUCUACGCACCUUAGACCUUGUCAGGAUCCCGAAUCGUAGAGAGCAGACGACAACACCCCGGCGAAAUUAUCCAGCAUUUGCGGCUAGAAUGCGUCGUCGAGCGCAUCGAACGGGCUGGCGCCAGCACGCGGGCCUCCGCGUAGAUCUACGACGUCGGGAUUGCCGCCGGCGUACGAAGAUCCGGGCGCGGCGUGGCUGCGGAAGGUAGUAGUAGUGUCGGGCUUCGAGGGGACAUCGUGGCCGCCGUCGGCGUCGGCCUCAGGGAACAGCGAUUGGUCGGGGAAGGUGGAGUCUUGGCCCGUGAGCUCCUGGACUAGUGCCCGGAACUCGGCCGGGUUGGCCGCCUUGACCUUCAUGGGGUUGGAGAUGUACACCACCUUGACGGGCUUCUUCAUCUUGCCCUUGUCAGAAUGCUGCUUGGGGUUCUUCCUGCCGUCGCCGGUGCGGAGCUUUUCCAUUUCUGAUUCUGAUGAUCAGCUUCAGUGGAGGGGGGAGUGGGAGGGGCUUGGCUUGUAAGGAGAGGAGGUGAAGGACGACUCAUUACUGUGGUUUUGGCUUCAGCAUACACACAAGGAGAAGAGCACACAUGAAAGGGGUACAUUUAAUUGAAUCUCGAAUAGUGAGAGGACGGGUUUCGUCGUGGCGGAGAUGGUGAUUCCGUAACAUGGAAUUGGGAAAGAAGUGGGAAAGAGUGGGGCAACAGAAAUUUACUGCAUGCACCCUGUGCAUGCACUCGGUGCACUGUGCGUCCUACUCUUGAGAAUUCUAUUAUGUGACAUAUCAUAAAGUAUCGCACGGUUAACCGUGUGUCGCCCGAUGAUAAGUCUUCUUUACUAAUACUUCAAGGAUUCUUAGGCGAUCCAAUGGUUAAAACAUUACAAACACAGAUGCGCAUGUACUUUUAAAUGCGCCUGGUCCGACUUAUAUGUUUUUAGAAACACGAUGGCUUCUAUACUAUCAAAUCAUUUUCAAUGCUGAGACUUCCAUAUCGACAAUCAGCUCCGUUAGACUUAACCAAGAAUAUAUUAGAUUUUAUUGAAUUUUUAUGAUUUAAAACUUGUUAAGACCUCUUGAGAGCCCAAUAAUUGUUAAUGGGCCGCUUUGGGAGCCCAACUAAAAUUUUCAUAUUUGAUGUUUAGUCCCACAUUAGAAAUCAAAAGGGUGUUUGUUUCUUUUAUAUAUUCUUUUAUUCUCAAACUAAUUGUUUGGAGAAAAAUGAGAGUAAUGUUCUCGUUUAAAUACACACACGCACGCAUGGCACGAGUCCGAGCCGAGCCGGGCCGAGCGGGUGGCGCGCGCGGUCCAUACACUCGAUUUAUUUUAUUUUUAUUUUGUUGGUUUUAUCUUUAUUUUAUAUCUUAUCUUUAUCUUUAUCCUAAUCCUAAUCCUUAUCCGUAUAAUUUUAGGCUUAUCUUGUUCUACACGGAUUUAACGCGUUGAAGCAAGAUUCUCACAUAGAUUAUAAAUAUGGGGUAAGGUUGCAUGAGUUAAUUAAUAAUAAUAAUAACCCGAGCAUAUCUAAAACCUCUCGUCUUUUUCUACUUUCUGAAUUUUCGCCGAAUUUUCUUUUGCUGGAUCUAAAGCUGGUUGGGUUCAUCUUGCACCACCUUAGAAGCAUGCUGACAGGGUGGAACGUGAUCGUUAUAUUGCUAGGAGUAAUUGCCAGAAAGUCUCGCACAUGGAGGGACAAUUUCGCUUCUAGGACAAUACUCUACACGUCUCGAUCCACUGGCCUUAUCUAAACCUUUUCUUUAUAGUAUUUGUUAUUUAAUUUCUUUCGCGGAAUAUUUCGAAACUUAUAAUUUAAAUUUUCGAAUUGGUUUUUAAAAGAAUAUUGUAAUAAAAAUUCAGAAAAAUUUUUCAAACAGAGUAUUGGAAAUAGCAAGAAAACAAAUUUCGUUCUUUUUUAUAUCAUUUAUUUAGUAAUCAAAAUAGCUCAAAAUCAACGGCUGAAAAUAAAAAUAUCACAAAAAGUAAUGAUAUGACACUAAAAUUUUAAAUCAAAAAUAUUGGUCGUAUUUUAUAUAGUGUAAAUAAUUGGGUAAACUUCAGACACCAUCCAUGUGAUUUCGUACGUUCUCAUUUUAGUACCCUAUAGUCUAAAGUGUAUCAAUUUAAUACCCUAUGGUUUUAUUUUAUUCUUUUCGUCAGCUCUUCCGUUAAUAUUUCGUUAAAUUAGAUACAAAAAACUUCAGAUACAUCACCUAGGUUUAUCGAAUAUUCACUUUAGUACCCUUUAAUUUUAAUUUUGUCACUGAUUUAACGAAAAAAAUUAGUGAAAUGAAUAAUUAAAAAUAAAAAUGAAAACAUAAGACACUAAAUAUGGAUAUUUAGUGAAGUUUUCCUAAGUAAUUUUCUAUCAAAAUUUUAUUUAAUUUGGAUAUUUCUACACCAUCAAAUGUGCAAACAGCUCAAUACAACCAUUAAAAUUGUUAAUUGUUAAUUGAUAUUGAAAAAUUACUGGACUUAUUUUUUACAUACUUUAAAUACUCUAAAUUGAAUCUAACGGAGCCGUCCCAGCAUCGAAAAUGACUUGAUAGCAUGAAAGUCACCGUACUUUUAAAAGGAUGCAAAUUUAACUUGCUCUCUCUUUCUCUCUCUGUAUAUAUACACACACUAAUUAUAGUGCACGUGCAAUGCACGUCACAUUUACUAAUUAAUUUAAAUUUAAAUAUAAUUUAAUAUAAAAUAAAAGUUAAAUCUGUUUCGAUUUAAAUUUAAAUAGUAAUUGGUGGCAUUAGUCUAUUUUUCAAUUAAUUAAUUUUUUAAAUUUGAUCUGUUUCGAUUUAUUUUUAGUUUGUUAAUUAUAAUUAUUUUUUUUAUAAUAUGUAUGAAAUAUUUUUUUUAUUUUAUUUAGGAUUUCGUUACUUCAUUUCUAUCCGUUUUUAUAUAUAGUAUAGAUAUAUAUUAGAAAAAAAAAAUCUUCUAUCCUAGAUACAAUGUUAGUACAGUGUGUAACGUGCAUUAAAAUAAUACGCCUAUAAAAGAUGCAUUCGAUGAUUUAUAUAUUAAAAGCGCGCAACUCAAAAUCAAAUUUAAUUUAGAAAAAAUUGUUUAUAUACCCCUGAAAAAUUUUCGACUUUUCGAUUUACCCUUCUUAGAAGACUAAUAUUAAAAAUAUCCUCUUUACGUUCCAACCUAUUUCUAAUAUAUUCCUAGAGUUAAAAUUUAUUAAUUAACUCUGUUAUCUCUAUAAAAUUAUUAUUUUGCCCUUUCAAAUAUACCCUUCCACCAUCACCGACUUUCUUAUUUGCCCUUAAAGUCAGGGGCACAAAAAAUAUUUUGACUUUUGGUCUUUUCCAAUAUACCCCUCUAUCAUCAUCAACAUUUCUUAUUUGAUUUUAAGUUAAUGGCAAAAUUGGUAUUUUAAUUUUUUUUAACUGUGAUAAAUAUUUAACUCACGUUUAACCCAAAUUAACUUAACAGGAGAUAACUGCGGGGGUAUUUUGCAAUAACGGUGGAACAUAUGAAGGGUAUUUUAAAAGGAAAAAAAAAUAGGAAUAAAUCAGAUAUUUUCAAAUAUAUGAGGGAUACAUAGACAAUUAUCCCUUUAAUUUAUUAUAUAAAUUUGUAAUUAUUUAAAAGACUUACACAUUAAAAAAAAAUCCUCGAUGUUACUAAGUAUGAAUUCGUGAAUUUGUAGGACUGUUUAAUUCAAAGUGUCUUGGUACUAAAGGUCAUUUAACUUAAGCUAUUAGGCCAAAAGAAGUUAGAGAUCAAAGCAUGCAGAGAGUGCCUUCUAAUUUAUUUUUUGUGAAACGGCAUAAAUUAUAUUCUGACCUAAUUUGCGCAAAUCUAAAAAAUAUAAAUUCUUUUAUAAAAAUAAAUUAUUAUUAUAUUUUACGCAUAUUCUUUGCGGUCCCAAACUGGGCCUAGGGUAAAAUAAUUUCAGUCAAAUGUUUGGAAAUUUUCAUAUAGAGGUUUUUUUAAUUAGACGUUAUUUGUUUACUUAAAUAUUUGGGGCAAUAUUCAAACUGUACGCACGGAUACGCCCGGUGCAAGAAAUACAGUGAGAGGAUAAUGCUGUAAGGAUACGAAAAGACAGGGAGUAGAUACGGCAAGCCAAGUGCUCGGAUCGCUUGUUGGGGGUGAACAUCGAACUUCAAUAAUUAUGCCACGUGGCUCGCUAAGAGCGGUUGAGAUCCUACGGAGGUGACGUCAGUCGUACGCAUGCCAGUAACAUACCUGUAAUAAAUGGGAUUUGGCUGUUGAAAUCAACUGCGCUUGGUCAGAUGUGCCCUCACGUGUCUAAACUUUUUAGUACUCCUUACCUCUGCAUGAAACUAUAUAUUUCUAAUAAAACUGUCUAAAAUAUCCGAUAUACUAUACCCGACUCGGACCCAAUCCGGAUACUAUCCAGAUCCGAACCGGACCUGAUAAAAAAUGGAUAGUAUACGGGUAAAAAAAAAAACUGAUUAAAGUUUCGGAUAUGGGUCCGGAUAUUUUAUACCCAUAUCCGAUUUGGACCCGACCCGAAUCCAACUUUUAAAUGGAUAGGGUCCGGAAUAGUUUUUAAAUUCGGACCCUGACCCGGACCCGGACCCGGACCCGAUGAAAUAUUUGAUAGUAAAUAAAAAAAUUGUGAACUUUUAAAGUUGAGAGAUCAAUUUUAAUAGGACUUAUCGACGAGGGAAAACAUUGAAACCCUAGCCGCUUUUUUACUAUUUUCUUUUUUCAAUUUUUUUUACUAUUUGUUUUUAACUCUUUAUUUUUUUUUUGUUUCAUUUCCGCCUAAGAGUUUUUUAUGAAACAAUAUUUUCAUCGUCGUCAUCAUUAGCGAUAUUAAUCCUUUACAAGUGUNCUAAGAGUUUUUUAUGAAACAAUAUUUCUAUCGUAGUCAUCAAUCUAUUUUUUUUUAAUGAAUAUUCUGGCCAGUAAAUUUUCUGAUUCAUCUUUAUUUUUUUUUCCUUUUUUUUUGAAUGUUAGUAUAUAAUAUUAGUAAUUACUACAACUUAUAUUCUCUUUAUCUGUAAUAUGCUAUCAUAAUUUUUUAAUUUUUGUAUGUUUACAUAUAAAAUUAUUUUAACUUUAGACUUUUAAUCAGUAAAUAUAAUGGCCGAAACAGAUUUUGCCCAAACAAUUUAAUAAAGUCUAUACAAAAAUAUAUAUACAGAUACCCGUACCCGACCCGUAUCCGGUUUUGAACGGGUAGUAUACGGAUAGUCACUACCCAGACCCGCUCAAAUAGACACCCAGACCCGCUCAAAUAGACCCGAUAGGUAUAUUAGUAACUUAAGUAUCCAGGUCCGGAUCCGACCCGAAGUUAAAUAGGUUUUUUUUUUUUUUUUUUUUUUUUUUUUUUUUUUUUUUUUUUUUUUUUUUUUUUUUUUUUUUUUUUUUUUUUUUUUUUUUUUUUUUUUUUUUUUUUUUUUUUUUUUUUUUUUCUAACCAUUUCUUUUUAGGGUACAGAUACAGUAUAUCUACUACCCAGACCCGACCCGGUCCACGGACACCUUUAUUUUCUAAGGAUAUGUUUGAUCCCACGUAAAUUUAUAAAAUUUUUUUUUAUAUUAUUUAGUGUUUAGUUUGUAUUAAAAAAUAGGAAUAAUUUUAUCAAUAUUCUUUUAAAAAAUCGUAAUUUCAUGAAUAACCCUCUAAACUAGAAAAUAUCAUCAAUACUCCUCUUAAAAUCAAAAAUAUUCACAGAUACCCUUUAGGGCGCAUUUGGUUCAAGUUAUAUAAUAUUACAGAGUAUUUCGAUAUACCCAGGUAUCUUGAAUUUUUAAAAGAGAUUACUCCUUAUACUGCAUUAGCGCGUUUGGUUUAAUACAGUAAUGUAAUGCUGGAUUGCAGUGGUUAUAGCAUUAAUAUGUUUGAUUCUAUCUAUAAAAUUCAGUAAUCUAGAUAAUAAAGUAUAGUCUAUUACAAAAUUGUCCUUAACCCAUAUUUUGUAAACUUUUUUUUUUUUACUGUUUACAAAUAAUAUUUACUAAAUUUUAUUUUUUUUAAAUAAUUUUUUUUAAAUUUAAAAANUCUUUUUGAUACCGGUGCAUCGCAUUCCUUUGUUAGCCGAGCAUUUGCAUAGUUACAUGGUCUAAAGUUAGAAGCAUUGUCUCAGGUACGAGAGGUGUAGAUCCCAGACCAUGUCUUGCAGGUCGUGGAGUGUUGUUGGUCAUGUCCAGUGCAGCUAGACUCGUGGAUUAUUCCCACAGACCUGUUGGUGUUAGGGCAGCUGCAGGACUUCGACGUCGUGCUCGGGAUGGAUUGGCUGGCGCGGUACUAUGCUACGAUCGACUGUGGAGCGAGGACGGUGACAUUCCGCGAGCUAGGCCAGGAGGAGUUCACUUUUAGAGGCUGCAGGAGCACGCUGUUUGUUACUUGGAUAUCUUCGGCGAGGGCUCGACAGAUGCUGAGCAGUGGGUGUAUCGCUUUCCUAGCGACAGUUGUGGAGGUACCUACGACGGCGUCGGGACUCGAGGACAUCCCAGUAGUCCGCGAGUUUCCGGAUGUGUUUCCCCCUGAGUUGACGACGUUGCCGCCGGAGAGGGAGAUUGAGUUUGUGAUUGAUGUAGUUCUUGAAACUGCACCAAUCUCGAAGGUACCUUAUCGGAUGGCGCCGGCAGAGCCGAGAGAGCUAAAGGCACAGCUUCAGGAUUUGAUGGAUAGAGGGUUUGUGAGACCCAGUGUUUCACCUUAGGGAGCGCCGGUGUUGUUUGUGAAGAAGAAGGAUGGUUCACUUAGGCUGUGUGUGGAUUACCGGGAGCUGAAUAAAGUGACCAUCAAGAAUAAGUAUCCCUUGCCGCGCAUUGAUGAUUUGUUUGAUCAGCUGCAGGGAUCUUAUGUCUUCUCGAAGAUUGAUCUCCAGUUAGGUUACCACCAGUUGAGGGUGAGAGCCGAGGAUGUUCCCAAGACGGCUUUUCGGACUCGGUACGGGCAUUAUGAGUUCACGGUGAUGCCUUUUGGAUUGACGAAUGCCCCUGCCGCAUUCAUGGAUUUGAUGAACAGAGUGUUCAAGCGGUUCUUGGACAGGUUUGUGGUAGUCUUCAUCGACGAUAUCUUGAUUUAUUCCCGGAGUGAUGCUGAGCAUGAGGAGCACUUGAGGAUUGUGCUAUAGCUUCUGCGCGAGAAGAAGUUGUAUGCCAAGUUAAAGAAGUGCGAGUUCUGGCUACGGGAGGUUGCUUUCUUGGGCCACGUGAUUUCAGCUGAGGGCGUAGCAGUGAACCCGAAGAAGAUUGAGGCGAUUCGAGAUUGGCCUAGACCGACGACGGUGACUAAGGUACGGAGCUUCCUGGGACUGGCAGGAUAUUACCGUCGAUUUGUGGAAAGCUUUGCGAAGCUUUCCACAUCCCUCACACGCUUGACGCGGAAGGGGAUUCGUUUUGUCUGGAGCGACGACUGUCAGAGGAGCUUUGACAAGUUGAGACUGAGGUUGACGUCGGCUCCUAUCCUUGCCCUUCCGGUGAUGGGGGAUGGAUUCGUGAUCUAUAAUGAUGCAUCGCACAGUGGACUUGGUUGCGUGCUGAUGCAGCAUGGUAGGGUGAUUGCUUAUGCUUCACGGCAGUUAAAGGAUUAUGAGAAGAAUUACCCUACGCAUGACUUGGAGCUUGCCGCGGUGGUUUUUGCUUUGAAGCUCUGGCGGCAUUACUUGUACGGCGAGCACUGCGAGGUCUUCACCGAUCAUAAAAGUCUCAAGUAUCUGUUCACACAAAGGGAGCUGAACCUGAGGCAGCGCCGGUGGUUGGAGUUACUGAAGGACUAUAACAUUAGUAUUCAGUGUCAUCCCGGCAAGGCGAAUGUUGUGGCAGAUGCGUUGAGCAGGAAGUCAGUGCAGAGCCUGAGUUUGAGGAUUACUGAGCAGAGACCCCUACUCGAGGAGCUACAGCGGCUGGGACUUGAGAUAGUACCCCCUGGGUCUAUGGCGAGGCUGACAUCUCUAGUUUUGCAGCCCACUCUGUUGGAUAGGAUCCGAGAAAAACAGAGUGGAGAUCCGUACUUGUUGAGGAUUAGAGAGCAGCUAGACAGGGGGCAGGCUGAGGGUUUUGCUUUGGACAGUUCGGGAGUACUACGGUACAGGCACCGACUGUGUGUGCCUGUGGAUUCUGAGAUCCGAACAGACAUUCCGAGAGAGGCUCAUUGUUCUCCUUAUACGGUCCACCCAGGUGGGACCAAGAUAUAUAAGGACUUAAAGGCACGGUUUUGGUGGAAUGGAAUGAAGAGGGACAUUGGCAGAUAUGUGGCUCAGUGUUUGACUUGCCAACAGGUGAAAGCCGAGCAUCAGGUACCUGCUGGCAAGCUUCAGAGUCUGCCAGUGCCAGAGUGGAAGUGGGAGUACAUCACUAUGGAUUUCGUUGUUGGAUUGCCUAGAGCGCAGGGUAGCUACGAUGCUAUUUGGGUGAUAGUGGACAGACUGACCAAGUCUGCUCACUUCCUACCGGUUCAGACUACCUGGUCCAGAGAGAGACUUGCGCAGCUAUACUUGGAUGAGAUCGUCAGGCUGCACGGCGUGCCAGUGUCGAUUAUGUCAGACAGAGAUCCGAGGUUUGUAUCUCAGUUUUGGAGGAGUCUUCGGACAGCCUUGGGCACUCAGUUGCAUUUUAGCACGGCGUUCCACCCACAGACAGAUGGUCAGUUAGAGCGGACCAUACAGACUCUAGAGGACAUGCUUAGGGCAUGUGUCCUGGAUUUUGGAGGAGGGUGGUAUCGACAUGUGAGACUGGUUGAGUUUGCGUACAACAACAGCUAUCAAACGAGCAUUCAGAUGGCUCCGUUUGAGGCGUUGUAUCGACGCAGAUGUCGAUCCCCCCUGUUUUGGAGCAAUGUGGGUGAGCGGAGGACACUUGGACCGGACAUUCUACUUGAGGCUGAGGAAAAGGUGAGAGUCGUUCGACGACACCUUCUGACAGUACAGAGCCGACAGAGGAGCUACUCCGAUACCAGGAGACGAGACUUGGAGUUUCAGGUUGGAGAUCAUGUUUUCCUCAAAGUCUCGCCGUCCAGAGGGAUACGCCGAUUUGGAGUACGUGGAAAGCUUAGUCCACGGUUUGUUGGCCCUUUCGAGGUAUUGGAGCGUAUCGGACCGGUUGCAUACAGGAUAGCUCUACCCCCGCGACUUGUUGGCAUCCACGAUGUUUUCCACGUCUCAGCAUUGAGGAGAUACGUCUUCGAUCCCACUCACAUGAUCGACUUCACUCCAUUGGAGAUCGGCGAGGAUCUGAGAUACGAGGAGCGACCGUUGCGGAUUCUUGCUCGGGAGACGAAAGAAUUGCGCAACCGGGUCAUCCCGUAUGUGAAGGUGCAGUGGAGCAAUCACGAGGAGCGGGAGGCGACUUGGGAGCCUGAGACGGUAAUGAGGGAGUCCUACCCCGACCUGUUCGAUGCCCCGUGUUGAGGUAUGUAUUAAGUUUCGAGGACGAAACUUUUUAUAGUGGGGGAGGAUGUAGUAUUCUGAUAUAUAUAUUUUUUUUUAGUUGGUAAGUUGGGUGGAUGGAAUGCCAUGUGCACCUAACCCCUCCCCCCCCCCCCCCCCCCCCCAAUGCAUGCUUAUCAACUUAGUUCACUCAGGUUGUACAUCUCUCUAAAUUAAUUUUCUUCUCCUCUCUCUCUCUCUAGCCGAUUGUGAGCAAGGAAGAGUUCGUGUGGAGCAUUUCGUUGUCGACAUCGCGCCGCGGAGCCGUCCGAGCAUAUGUGCGUCGCCGUAGUUUCGCGAGGAGGCCGGGCGAGGGAGUGUUUUCGUCGGUCUCGACGCCGUGCCGGAAUUGGAGUCGCUGGUUGAGGUGGGUAAUCUCUCAUUCCUCCAUGGAUUUCUUCUCUACUUCAAGCUUCAUUGAAUUCGAGCGCGAGGUGCUGUUUUCACUGAUUUCCAACGUCGACCGUCGACGUUUCGGCUCCCUCUCGACGUACGAGCAUCGGAUUUUGACGAGACUUGGUUUGUUGGAUUCGGGACUUCGAGAGGAAUCCACGAAGCCCUUGCUGGUUUUGGUGGAGGUUUUCUUGGUCGGAAUUAUUCUCUUCUCUGCUGCUGUUUUUGAGGCAGAAUCGGUGCUCAUUUUCGGAUUUUACGUGUAGAGUUUGGCGGGAGCGUGAUUUCUGGCCUUUGGAGGUUUGCGGAUUGAUCCAGCAGGGUGUUCCUUUGCUUCGGGACGUCCUCGCUGCUGGGGAUUAGCAACUAAGGUGGGUUAAUCAUCGGCUUAUACUCCUAAGUGCGCAAUAGUCAACAUGUGUAAUUUCAGAUUUUGUAUAGUUUACUUUAGCUCGAAUUCAUAGAUUAAUUUGUGAAUUACAAUCUGAAUUUGGAGCAUGUGUUAAUAAAUUAAGUAAUUUAUACAUGUUGGACUUGGAAUUUGACUUAGGAGAAAACAUGCGAUUUGGACCUGUCACUUGUUUAAACUGCCUGAUUUAGCUCUAGGAGCCGUUAUA
rnacentral:lncRNA from 1 species